AAAUCCCGCGUGGCCUAGCAUCGUUAGCUGGUGAUGCUAACGCGCCAUUCUGGCUCUGAAAUAGCGACGAUCUGUCUGGAACUGAUGUCUUGAACCAAAUCCACAGUCAGUCCACUGCUGAUCUUUCAGUAUGGUAUUGGCUGUCGUAGAGCCUUUCUGCAUGGCAUAAUGUCAAGGCUGGAGGAAAGCUGUCACCCAGAGGAAAACACGAGAGGAAAAUGACCGGCAGCCCUGAUUAUAUGUGAUCCAUGGCCUCGGAGGUGACUUCUCUGGGGAUGAAAGUCAACCAGUGGCUUCAGGUUAAGAACAGGCUAUCUGUCAGUGUUCACAUGAGGGCAGCACAGAUGGUGGGGGGCCGGGGUGUCGGAUGGGAAGGGCGCCGUCGGCCCCGUGGAAGAGGCGGCACCAGAGGGCUGUUAUCCAGGCAGUGACUGUGUCUGAGUUGUAGUCUGUCAUGUGAUCAAUGGCUAGUUUUCUAGAACGAACCCCCACCCCCCCACCUUGACUGUAGUGUCUAGCUUGUCGGACUUACCUGCCAGACCCCUGUGAUCAAUGGCUGCGGCAUACUGGCCGCUUUGUAAAUCUGUCCAGGAGUGAGGCCUACGUGUGCUCAGAUACUCUCCAUCUCCCUGGAAGUUUCCGUGACAACCCGGAUGCUCCUCCAUCUCUCACUCCAUCGAUCCAUGCGGGGGCUUCUGCUCCCACCUUGACCCCUCUCUCCAUGUCUCCCCGUGCUGGUAUCGCAGUAUCUCUCUCUUUAUAAAACUCCCAGCCUGCAAACAUGUGGGCAGAGACGGAAAAGGAGGACAGCUGACAGAUGAGGGCGUGUCAGCACGAUCACCUCACUGGAGCCACGGUGUGUCAGAGCCAUACCAUACCGUUCAGGUCAGUCUUUAAAAAAAAAGGUCGAUAGAAAGCAAGAUGACGGGCAGCCCUCAAGCACACGCAUGCUGAUUGGACGUGGAAGCCUUGCUGAGUGUCAGCUGCUGCCAGCAUCUGUCCUGAAGGCUCUAGCGAGCUCAAUUGGAGUGUGAAAUACCUGAGAGCAUCAUUCCAGCGCAGCACCAAGAAGCGCAGUGUCCGCUGACAGCCCACAUUCUGGACCAUUCUUUAUGUUUACUCUUCUCGGUGGCGAAGGACAGACAGCUGACGUGCCGGAAGGCAAAUCGGCAGCCCCUGGUUGUCAGGCUCCAGACUGUAAGCGCCGACAGGUAGACGGGCAACCCAAGCAGAUGGUUCAGGAGACGCUGGCAAACGAUGGCUGCCUAGGGAGCCCCAUGAUAUGGACGCCUUCCGAGAGCAGCGAUCCACCUGAUGAUGCUUUCGCAUUCUCAUUUUUAUGGCCACUCUGGAAUCUGUCCUUCAAGUGCAAAUGUCCACAGCCCCUUUGGAAGUUAUUGCUGGGGCACGGUGUUGCCUUAGCAACCUGCCUCAUGUCACAGCACACACACACGAACGGUGUCACCAUGGUGUAUCUGCAUAAUUCUGCCCCCUUCUACAGCAUCCACACCUUGUGCAUGUGACCCUCACGGUCUGUGUGCAUCAGCUGAUCUGUUCUGACACUACAUGCUGGCAUCAUGACAGAGAACAGGCUGCUACAAUAGAAAGAACUGAAACAUAGAAAAGACUUUUAAAACCUGCCACACAUAUCUCAUAUGUACACACUCACACAACUAAGCUACUGUAACACAUCACAUUUGUUAGUAAACAACCAAGUAGAUGUCUGAAACUGAAGGUAACUUCUGGAUUUAUAUUUUCUUGAGGUUUAAACCUUAAGAAUAGAGUGGUAUCCCACAGUGAAGUUGCUUCACUAGUUGAUGCGGCUAAUCUUGGUAUUAUGAUACAGUUGGACAAGUGAAUUCUGGAAGCUUCUCCGAAAGUGGGCUUCAGUCACACCCCUAGGACUUCAGUCGGACCUCAGGGCUGGAUGAAAGCAAGUCGUCCAUCACACAGGGCUGUUUACAGUAGAUACCAGCGAGAUAUAUUUCUAACGGGGGAGCAGGGACUGUUUAUUUGGAGAGAUGGGGGUGGGAGUGGCACAGUGACAGCAAUGAACCGAGGUGUGUUUGUUAUUCUGUGCAGAGGUGAGGCAGCUUUGCCACUCAUCCUGAGGGUUCACGUGUGCUGCGGGAGUGUGUCACACGGGUGACUCCGUUCUGACCAUGUGCUCAAAGUACUGUAAUCGGCAGUAUUCUCUGUAUUCCUCUGUUAUGUCGAGCAGAUGAAUAGCUGAUCUUUCGUUAUGUUCCAUCAUAACCACAUUCUUUGUGUGUUUUUCUAACUAUAGUGUGUAAUUAUAGACCGCCCCCCCCCCCAUUGUUGAUACGUAAGUGUGGUUCCAGUUACUUGGUUAAAAUGAAAACACCACUAGAGGAACCAUAGGAAUGUGAAACGUUGGGUAACAGAAGUAAUAAUAACAGUAGUUAAUAAAAGACGAGCCGCUGCUCUUUGUUCCGUAUUUUGGCUCCCCUGAGGCUGCUCAUCAUCAGGACCGGAUCCAGACACAGGUGAACUCGACAGCUGCCAUGGGCCCGAUAGGACGUCAUGAUUAAAUAUAUAUAUAUAUAUAUUUGUGUGUGUGUGUUACAUAUCCAUACAUAUGCUAUAUGAAUAAGAAUAUGCACUCACAGGGAGUGUGGUCAUGGACAUACAGCUGAUUUGUUGUGCAGCACUUGCUCCAGUAGGGUGCACCAAAGAGUAAAUGAGAUGUCCACUCUAAAUUCAAAUUAAAAAAAUGUCCCUUGAUCCAGGCCAUUCAGGUCUCUUCAUCAACGUCUUCUUCUUAUUGUUAUUAUUACUUGUUGUUACAGCUACUGAGGUAUACAAAUUGAUUGGCAAAGACUUUCCGUACGCUGCGUACCAGCAGUUUAAGUCUAAAUAUGUGGCAGUAUCAGAUGAAGCCACCCUGGGCGUCUGAAUGCGGGGGUACGUUUCGGCAGAGAGGCGCGGCGGUAGCUGGACACUGUCCUGACUCGGUGUGGUUUUGCACAGAAAUCCCUCUGCCUUCCUUCCUUGCCAUAUGCCGUAGGGCAGAGCUUUUUCAAAAAGUCACUCUCUCCCGUAGAUUUCGAACGCGCCAUGAGCCAAUAACGGCGGGAACAGGGUCUCCACACAGGCUCAUUGACUUCUCCCUGUGAAGCCAGUGCUGAAGGCCCUGAAUCCGUCUGAGCUGUUUGUGAUGCCAAGGUCUCGUCUGAUUGGUUCUGCUCAGCACAACGCCUUUCUGCAUGAACUACACAUAUCAUAUCCACAUUGUGCGCCCUCUGUAGACACCCCGCCCUCCUCGAUUUAUCUCCUGUCGGUGCAAACUAGCUUGGUAUUUGCCUGUUAUUUCAAGACAUACUUCCACAGUGGUACAUCUGCAAAAAGGGAGUUAAUGGGAAAUCUUCAGUAAUAAUGCUGCUAAUUCACACUAACGGAACUAUGAAUUAGGAAAGAUUGUUUCAAGGCGUGUUGCUGAGAAUCAUUCUGGCAGGUGGGUGCUUGUAACUGAGCAGGAAAGGGACAGCUGUGUCGCACCUCUCCAUCCGACGCUAGCUGAGAACUGGCCAUAAAAAAAAGAGGGCUGAGCAUGUUUGUAAAGAGUGCCCUCUGCUGCUUAAUAUGAGCAUGACACCACUUAGUUAGUUUGUGAGCAGUGGGUAUAUGGUUAAUUCUCCAGCCAUAAUGGAAUCCAUAUUUUUAAAAAUAUAUAUUUAUACAGGAUGAAUGAUAUCUAACACCAGUACAUAUCACUGUACUAUACAUGCAUUGUAUGGUCCAUUAUGCUUGUAAGUAACUCAUAUCUUAGGAAGGGGACUGCUUCUAAAGCUUUGCGCAGUAGGUAAUUUGUAACCUUCAGUAAGAUAUCCACCUGAAAUACUCCUCCCACCUGGGAGGAGCACAUAAGAUGGCAUCAGGACAUACAGUCUGUCAUGGGGGGUGCAGUGGGGGUGGUAGUUUCAGGAGCAUGAAUCAGGUGAUAGGGUGUGCUUACACUUAAUUCUCUCUCUUACCACAGUAAAUAAAUGUAUCCUGAAUGUCCUUUCCCACACUACACCCAAACUGGAUUUCUCUCUGUGAUCCCAUGUCCCCCUUCUCUUUGUGACCUUGUGUCUCCAUGUCCCGUCCCUUUGUGACCGUGUCCCUAUUUCCUGUCUCAUUUUGACUGUGACCCCAUGCCCCCAUCUUUGUGACAGCAUGUCCCCAGUCACUGUGAUCCUGAGCCCUCCAUCUCUGUGACCCUGUGUCGCCAUGUCGCGUCUCAUAUUGACUGUGACCCCAUGUCCCCAUCUUUGUGACACCAUGUCCCCGUCUCUGUGACCCUCUAUCUCCAUGUCCCCUUAUCUGUUUAUGACUUUUUUUUUCUUACUCUGGGACACUGUAUCCCCUCUCUCUUUGUGACCCUGCGUCCCUGUGUCCUCCUUCACUUUGUGACCCUGCGUCUCUGUGUCCUCCUUCACUUUGUGACCCUGCGUCCCUGUAUCCCCUCUCUCUUUGUGACCCUGCGUCCCUGUGUCCUCCUUCACUUUGUGACCACAUGAUCCCAGUCUCUUCGUGUCCCUAUGUCCCUGUCUUUGUGUCCUCAUCUCCCCAGUCUCCAUGUGACCUGAUAUCCCCCAUCCCAUUGUGAUGCCAUGUCCUCUGUCUCUUUGUGACCCAGUGUCCCCUGACUUGUCCUAUUUGCCC